GACGCUCGCCAUUCAAGUAGGUAUGAGCAAAUAGUCAAACUUCAACUUAGCACUCCACUCGUCCGCAAACUUUAUACGCACCUCCGCGAAAAUAUAUAAAAAAAGGUCGUGUUAUGCAUUAUUAAGAUCAAGAAGAGCUUACUGGAACAGACUAAAGAGAAGGUAAACGUCGUGUCUUAUACGAAAGUCAAAAAAUUAGCCUUUGAUAGACAAGAGUGAAGAAUGCUACACCGACAAGACCGUGUAAAUGAAUGAUAAUGAUGUCAAAAUAUCGACUGUCAUGCAAGAAGAUCCCUCCUUCUCACAGGAAGGCUAAAACGUUAAAGUCAAACGGACUAAGGUCGCAUCGAGUAAAAGUACGCAGUUCGCAGUAUCAGUAAAAAAGAGUGGGUAGUGAACUUUUUUUUUGACGCGACUUUUUGUAGAUUUGCCGCAAAUGACAUUAACUAUUUGACUGGACAAAUGGGGAGCGCUAAGGGCUUUCAUCCGG